GCCGGCAUCCCUGCCACCCACAGCUGAGUAGGUUUGAGCCUGGUAGGUACAUGGAUGGGAGGCCAACUAGGAGAGCUGGGUUGCUGCAGGAA
rnacentral:rRNA from 1 species